UACGGAGGGUGCAAGCGUUAUCCGGAUUCACUGGGUUUAAAGGGUGCGUAGGCGGGCAGGUAAGUCAGUGGUGAAAUCUCCGAGCUUAACUCGGAAACUGCCAUUGAUACUAUUUGUCUUGAAUAUUGUGGAGGUAAGCGGAAUAUGUCAUGUAGCGGUGAAAUGCUUAGAUAUGACAUAGAACACUAAUUGCGAAGGCAGCUAACUAAGCGAUGAUUGACGCUGAGGCACGAAAGCGUGGGGAUCAAACAGG
rnacentral:rRNA from 1 species